rnacentral:rRNA from 1 species
UACGGAGGGUGCGAGCGUUAUCCGGAAUCACUGGGCGUAAAGGGUGCGUAGGCGGGUCUUUAAGUCAGGGGUGAAAUCCUGGAGCUCAACUCCAGAACUGCCUUUGAUACUGAAGAUCUUGAGUUCGGGAGAGGUGAGUGGAACUGCGAGUGUAGAGGUGAAAUUCGUAGAUAUUCGCAAGAACACCAGUGGCGAAGGCGGCUCACUGGCCCGAUACUGACGCUGAGGCACGAAAGCGUGGGGAGCAAACAGG